AUCGCGUCUGUUAGCACUUAUACCGUGAAACUGCGAAUGGCUCAUUAAAUCAGUUAUCGUUUAUUUGAUAGUACCUUACUACAUGGAUAACCGUGGUAAUUCUAGAGCUAAUACAUGCUAAAAACCUCGACUUCGGAAGGGGUGUAUUUAUUAGAUAAAAAACCAAUGCCCUUCGGGGCUGCUUGGUGAUUCAUAAUAACUUAACGAAUCGCAUGGCCUUGCGCCGGCGAUGGUUCAUUCAAAUUUCUGCCCUAUCAACUUUCGAUGGUAGGAUAGUGGCCUACCAUGGUAUCAACGGGUAACGGGGAAUUAGGGUUCGAUUCCGGAGAGGGAGCCUGAGAAACGGCUACCACAUCCAAGGAAGGCAGCAGGCGCGCAAAUUACCCAAUCCCGACACGGGGAGGUAGUGACAAUAAAUACUGAUACAGGGCUCUUAUGGGUCUUGUAAUUGGAAUGAGUACAAUUUAAAUCCCUUAACGRGGAACAACUNGAGGGCAAGUCUNGUGAACAUUCAGUUYUAAUCAUGCUGACGCCAGAGAUAGUAGGGCUCCCCUUCGAAUAGAGGGGAGUUAUGCCUGCUAGUCGAGUAUUCACAAACAGCGAUGGGUGAAUACCGGCGAGGUGACCUGGUACGGGGAAGCCUAAGGGCCCGGCUCUUUUAGGGAGGCCGACCGCCUAUGGUAAUCCCGUGGCGAGUUAUUACUUUACUGUAAUAGCCGUCGUAACGCGCGGAAAGGCACCGGCUAUCAUUUCUUGAUAGCUCAAGGGACGUGCUGUCCCAUCCGAAAGGAUGCUUUAAGCUGGAGCACCCAUCGUGUAAAGGCUUAAGGGGGUUAAUAGAAAAAUUAACCUGGGUUGCAUUUUGAAAGAUGCAAGAUAAAACGGCCAGCAGCCGCGGUAAUUCCAGCUCCAGUARCGUAUAUUAAAGUUGUUGCAGUUAAAAA
rnacentral:rRNA from 1 species